rnacentral:rRNA from 1 species
AUGGCCACGCCGGCGGCGGGGAGGAGGCCCAGGGCGCGGCGGCCGUUCGCGGCGGUCGCGUCGCUGUCGGCGGCCAGGAGGCGGGUGCUGCCGAGGACGGAGGGCUCGGAGAACGUCGAGCCCCUCGACGGGAUGUCGUUCAAGGAGUGCCUCCGCCGGUUCAACAAGUUCUCCGGCGAGGCGGCGGCGGCGGCGGCGGCGGUGAAGCCCGCCUUCGUCGUCGGCACCAAGGCGGUGAUCAAGAACAGGCGGUCCUGCUCGACGCCUGGUUCCAAGAGGCCGUCGUCAUCGAGGACGCCGAGAAGGAAGAAGCUGGAACCGUCGUCUUCUAGGAAUAGCUCGACUCCCGCGCCGCCGGCGGCGGCGGCGCCGUACGAGGCGCCGCGCGCGCCGCUGUGGGACUUCUCCGACGAGCUCUGCCAGAAGAAGGUCAGGGCGAGGCUCUCGUCUCCCUGCGACGUCGCGGCGGAGGAGGAGCAGGGGCAAGGACGGCGGCGCGGGGAGGCGGCCUCGCGGAGGAGCGCGGCGUGGAGCGCGACCCUCGAGGAGGCCAUGGCCGGCAUCCCGGAGCACGGCGAGGGCCGCGUCAGGUACCUGGUGGACACGUUCGAGAGGCUCCUGUCCCUGUCCCGCGGCGACCGCGAGGCGCAGAGCGGAGGCGGCGCGGGGACGAGGAGGAGGAAGAAGGAGUCGGCCUCGGUGCCGUCGUCGCCGCGGAAGGCCGAGGAGAUCGACAUGGCGUCGUACCCCUCCGUCGCGUCGUCGUCCGACCUCUCCUACUGCAUCAUCGGCCUCCCCCGCCGCAACAGCAGGAGCAGCAGCGGUGCGCGAGACGAGCAUCAGGUCAGGAGAUGCAACAGCGCUGGCUCGUCGGAGAGGAGCUCGUGUAGGAAGGCGACGAGGCCUCAUCCGUUCAAUCUUAGGACCGAGCAAAGGGGAAGGGUGAAGGAAGGCAACUUUGUUCAGAUGAUGAGGGAGAUGCUGCUGGAGGAGGAGAGGCUGCGCAACCCGCUCGCGCAAGCUCUCCCAUGGACCACCGAAGAACCGGAGAAUCUGGCGAAACCGCCGACGAAAGAGCCCACUGAACCGUUCGAUGUCGUGCUUCAUAGCGCAGUUCGUGCUGUCGGUCGCUCCAAGUUUGAUCAUCAGAUCGCGGAGCGCAACAUCUUCCUGGAGAGGCUGGAGCUGGAGAAGGAGAGGCAGCAGAAGCUGGAUGAAGAGAUUGAGAUCAAACUGCUGAGGAAAGAGCAGGUGCCGAGGGCGCACCCAAUGCCGGAUUUCUCGAGGCCAUUCAUGCCCAAAAGGUCAGUGAAGCCCCAGACAGUUCCCAGGGAGCCAAGGUUCCACACCAGGCCGACGAGGCACAGCCCCAAGACUCGGUCAUAG